rnacentral:pre_miRNA from 1 species
CAUUUGUAUCUGGUGUGAUUAUAAAGCAAUGAGACUGAUUGUCAUGUGUCGUUUGUGGGAUCCGUCUCAGUUACUUUAUAGCCAUACCUGGUAUCUUC